UAUUGUUACCAAAUCUGUGACUAUGUCCAUCUUUGAGUGGCUGAUCUUCCCCUGUCCCCUUUCAUACUCAAGCAGUUGCCCUGUUUCGUAUGGCGUACCGACGGUACACACCACAGCCUUGCACCUUAUUCUUGCAGGUGCAAUAACAAUGUGAAUUGUCAGCUGGAAGCAAACCAGAUCAGCCAGGAUUCCGUUCUAGUAACUGAGCACUUCACAUCCAUGGCAAACCAGGAAUCACCCAGGGAUCUUUAAAAAAUGGCAGAUUCCAGGAGUCCUCAUCAAACUUAGUAAGCAGAAUCUUUUGAGGCCUGAGAACAUCUGUGUCUAAAAAGCUCCCCAGGUGCUUUGAUGAGAAACCAUAUUUGGGAACUUCUAACUUGUGAUGACCGGGCCUCCCUUAAAAGCUGUCCAAGCGGUGGAUUAUAGCCAAGGAGUGACCAAAGUUGCCAUCUAUGUGUGCACCUUCUAUGUGGACUAUCUUAGGGUCUGCCACAUCUAGAUAUGCUUCUGUGUUAAGACUGGCCACAAGGGAAAUUUGUGCAAGAUUUCAAAGGCAGAAGGGAAGCCCUUACACUCUGAAGCAGUGAGAUCCUGAAUAUUGGCAUGGGAAUGUGAACCUAUGGGCAGGCUGAAGAAACUGGAAUCAUGAACUUCUAAAUUCUGCUGAGGCCUCUUCUGCCAGUAUUGAUGGCCUUUCCUCCCUUGCCUGAAGAGCGUAGUCUCUCCUUACCUGUAAAAUCUGUAUUGGCCUCUCCUGGGGUAGUUCGUUGCCUUGUAGGGUCUGCUGAUCCUCCUCAAGACCUAUCAUCAACACCUUCCACAGCUUCUCUACCCCUUGCAGGAGAUCCUAGAAGUAAUCUCUACACGCAACAUGGGGAUUGAACUCACAACCGCGAGAUCAAGAGUCACACGCUCCACCAAGUGAGCCAGCCGGGCACCCUAACCAGCCUUGAUAUCUGAUUACCCUCAAUACCUUAUCAAAUUCCUCAUUCCCCAGUGACUACUAUGCUGGGACUCAUUUCAACGUAAAAAAACUGAAGCCCCGACAUCAAGGAAAAGACGCUUCAAGGUGAAGGGACAAAAAGACGCGGUCACGAGCAC